rnacentral:lncRNA from 1 species
CAUCAGGAAGCAUAAAAUGCAGAGUAUCGCAGCAAAAGGCGAACCGAUUAUAUGUAUGGAGACACAUAACCGUGAGUAUAUUGCUUGAUUCAAGAAAAACAUUGUAACAUUUCACUAAGGUUUUAUCAACAUCCUUAAGACUUUAACAUCAAAGGAAAACAAUCAAGGAAAACUUCAUCGGUGAAACCAUCCCCACCAGCACCAGUCCAAUCUCGCUCCGUUGCUUAGCCUGCACAUUUAGAAAUAUAUGCAGGGCGUGAGUAAUAAUACUCAGUGGGCAAACGCCGGAAAACAUCAAAGGCGCUCUUAGAGCUAUAUGUUUGAAGCUUGCCACAACAUCAGCAAUACACAGAAAUAAGCUUAGCAUCAAAGAAUCUGUGCAUGCAGUUUU